UGACCAUUGAUCAAUAAUCUAAUAAGUCCAGUACUAUUGAGAACAACAACUCAUCUAAUAUAAACAAUAACUCAAUUGAAUUGCUAUGAAUUCGCCUACAGUUUCUAUUCAAUACUUUCUUUGUAGAAAAUCAGAAGAUUUAUACGCAGAUAUAUCAAUAUCGAAUUAUAUGCAUCCAUAUUAAUAUAAGUAUGUUUACACUUAGAAUUUUGAAAAGGUAUAUUGUAUUGAUUUGUCAUUAACGCUGAACAUGUGGACUUGAAAAAGGGUCAAGAUUAAAACCAUGUGGGACAAAG
rnacentral:lncRNA from 1 species